UGAGUACGAGCUGCUACGGCAGCGAAGUGGGUGACGUCAAGCUUCCAAGAAAAGCCCUAUACCCGUUAAGGCAUGAUGGCCUGUACCCGAAACCGACACAGGUGGGGUGGUAGAGAAUACCGAGGGGCGCGAGGUAACUCUCUCUAAGGAACUCGGCAUAAUGGCCCCGUAACUUCGGGAGAGGGGUGCCACCGCAAGGUGGUCGCAGUGAAGAGGCCCAGGCGACUGUUUACCAAAAACACAGGUCUCCGCUAAGUCGCAAGACGAUGUAUGGGGGCUGACGCCUGCCCAGUGCCGGAAGGUUAAGGAAGUUGGUCAGCGAAAGCGAAGCUAGCGACUGAAGCCCCGGUGAACGGCGGCCGUAACGAUAACGGUCCUAAGGUAGCGAAAUUCCUUGUCGGGUAAGUUCCGACCCGCACGAAAGGCGUAACGAUCUGGGCGCUGUCUCGGAGAGAGGCUCGGCGAAAUAGAAUUGUCUGUGAAGAUGCGGACUACGUGCACCCGGACAGAAAGACCCUAUGAAGCUUUACUGUAGCUUGGUAUUGUGCCCGGGCUCUGAAUGCGCAGGAUAGGUGGGAGGCUUUGAUCCAUGGCUUGCGGGUCAUGGUGAGCCAACGGUGAGAUACCACUCUUUCAGAGCUAGGGUUCUAACGGUCACCCGUUAUCCGGGGACCGGACAGUAUCUGGUGGGCAGUUUGACUGGGGCGGUCGCCUCCUAAAAGGUAACGGAGGCGCGCAAAGGUUUGCUCAGGCUGGUUGGAAAUCAGCCGACGAGUGUAAAAGCAGAAGCAAGCUUGACUGUGAGACCAACAAGUCGAACAGGGACGAAAGUCGGCUUUAGUGAUCCGACGGUUCUGAGUGGAAGGGCCGUCGCUCAACGGAUAAAAGUUACUCUAGGAUAACAGGCUGAUCUCCCCCAAGAGUUCACAUCGACGGGGAGGUUUGGCACCUCGAUGUCGGCUCAUCGCAACCUGGGGCUGAAGUCGGUCCCAAGGGUUGGGCUGUUCGCCCAUUAAAGCGGUACGCGAGCUGGGUUCAGAACGUCGUGAGACAGUUCAGUCCAUAUCCGGUGCAUGCGCAGGAAUAUUGAGAGGAGUUCUCCCUAGUACGAGAGGACCGGGAGGAACGCACCUCUGGUGUACCAGUUAUCGUGCCAACGGUAAACGCUGGGUAGCCAUGUGCGGAGAGGAUAACCGCUGAAAGCAUCUAAGUGGGAAGCCCACCUCAAGAUGAGUAUUCCCAUGGCAUAAGCCAGUAAGGUCACGGGAAGAACACCCGUUGAUAGGCUCUACGUGGAAGCGCAGUAAUGCGUGAAGCGGAGGAGUACUAAUAGACCGAGGGCUUG
rnacentral:rRNA from 1 species